GGAUUGUGGCUCAGUGGUAGAGCUAACCGUCUAGCACAGGUGGGACCCGGGUUCGAUCCUCAGCACCA
rnacentral:tRNA from 1 species